GAAAUAUCCCCCGUUCUGGCAGCACUGGCCAGGAGUGUGUGCAGGCGGUCAGAUUGAUUUCUUUCCAAUUUUCUGUUGCUUAAUACAUGACCCAGGUCACAGAAAAACAUCAAAUUUCAAAUCGCGUAUUUAAAAUUUUCCAAAAUGGAUUUAAUUUAUUGUAAUCAAUCAACGCAAUUUCUUAGCAACAAAAAUGAAAUUUUUAAACGUAAGAGAUUAUUUAAAUUCUACAAAUCACAAAAGUCAAUUUUUCAUCACCAUGUGGCUCCAACUCUGAACGCAUCACAAGUCUGAGAAUCAUCAAUGCUCAAGAUAUUUUUUUCGUCAUCGACUCGCUCAUGUAGAGGAUCAGUUCCAGGAUUUUCAUCAUGAAAAAAAAAUAAUUACCUGAAUCAUCAAUGUUCAGGUCAUUCAUCAGAAAUUUGCGCAUGUAGGGGAUUAGUUCCUGGAUCUACAUCAUGAAAAAAAAAUAAUCACCUGGACGCCAACUAAUUAAAUCAGUCCGUCAUCUGCUCACAUAAAAUGGCGGUUUAUUUGAAUCCGGCAUCAAACGAACACGCCUCAGAAAAGUUCGAGAUACUGAUGAAGAUGGAGACGGACAAUAACCGCUGACUAUAAUCAAAAAAUCAGCUCAUAUUUGAUGCCAAACUUUAAUUAAUUUUUUUUUUUACUUUUAAUGAAAUUGAAAAAUAAAAACUACUGAAAUUGUAAAUUUGAACUUUUUAUUUAAUGGCAUUGAGAUUUAUUAUAUAAGUCAUAUAUUUCUAAGUAAUUGAUAUAUUUUAUCAAACAACGCCAUAAAUUUGUAAAAUUGUUCCAGUUAGGAAAUUUAUUUCAGGUGUUUUCAAUUUUCACUCACUCCGGGUUUUCAGUAGACAAAAUUUUCGCCGAUUUUUUUUUUACGCAUGCGCAGUAUAAAAUUAAUCAGUAGUAAAGACGAUUUCCGAAGUUCAUUCUCUCUGGGACAAGUUUUCAAUGUUGAAAUAAUCGAGGACUUGAAAAUUUAAAUUUUGGAAAUAAAAAAAAUAGACUCGUUUAUAAGAAAAAAUUUUUUUAUUAAAUAUAUAAUUCAAAAGUCAGACAAAUCUGCCGAUCGAUAAAUUUCAUAUGUAAAAUUUAAGCUGAAAAAAAAUAAUAAAACUGUUGAGC